CCUACGGGAGGCAGCAGUGGGGAAUAUUGCACAAUGGGGGAAACCCUGAUGCAGCGACGCCGCGUGAGUGAAGAAGUAUUUCGGUAUGUAAAGCCCUAUCAGCAGGGAAGAAAAUGACGGUACCUGAUUAAGAAGCCCCGGCUAACUACGUGCCAGCAGCCGCGGCAAUACGUAGGGGGCAAGCGUUAUCCGGAUUUACUGGGUGUAAAGGGAGCGUAGACGGCAGCACAAGUCUGGAGUGAAAGGCCGGGGCUUAACCCCGGAACUGCUUUUGAAACUGUGCAGCUUGAGUGCAGGAGAGGCAAGUGGAAUGCCUGGUGUAGCGGUGAAAUGCUUAGAUAUUAGGAGGAACACCAGUGGCGAAGGCGGCUUGCUGGACUGUGACUGACGUUGAGGCUCGAAAGCGUGGGGAGCAAACAGGAUUAGAUACCCGAGUAGUC
rnacentral:rRNA from 1 species